UCCACGCCGUAAACGAUGAUUACUCGUUGUCUGCGAUAUACUGUAGGCGACUGAGCGAAAGCAUUAAGUAAUCCACCUGGGGAGUACGUUCGCAAGAAUGAAACUCAAAGGAAUUGACGGGGGCCCGCACAAGCGGAGGAACAUGUGGUUUAAUUCGAUGAUACGCGAGGAACCUUACCCGGGUUUAAAUGCAGGACGAAACUCUGAGAAAUCAGAGCCCCUUCGGGCGGACU
rnacentral:rRNA from 1 species